rnacentral:tRNA from 1 species
CAGAAGAUAGUUUAAUUUAGAAUCCUAGCUUUGGGAGUUAGGGGUGGGAGUUAAAAUCUCCUUUUUCUGA